UACGGAGGGGGCUAGCGUUAUUCGGAAUUACUGGGCGUAAAGCGCACGUAGGCGGAUUGGAAAGUUGGGGGUGAAAUCCCAGGGCUCAACCCUGGAACUGCCUUCAAAACUCCCAGUCUUGAGGUCGAGAGAGGUGAGUGGAAUUCCGAGUGUAGAGGUGAAAUUCGUAGAUAUUCGGAGGAACACCAGAGGCGAAGGCGGCUCACUGGCUCGAUACUGACGCUGAGGUGCGAAAGCGUGGGGAGCAAACAGG
rnacentral:rRNA from 1 species